rnacentral:rRNA from 1 species
CCUACGGGAGGCAGCAGUAAGGAAUAUUGGUCAAUGGAGGCAACUCUGAACCAGCCAUGCCGCGUGCAGGAAGAAGGCCCUAUGGGUCGUAAACUGCUUUUGUACCAGAGAAAACCACAGUACGUGUACUGUGUUGAUAGUAUGGUAAGAAUAAGCAUCGGCUAACUUCGUGCCAGCAGCCGCGGUAAGACGAAGGAUGCAAGCGUUAUCCGGAUUCAUUGGGUUUAAAGGGUGCGUAGGCGGACUGAUAAGUCAGUGGUGAAAUCUCUCAGCUUAACUGAGAAACUGCCAUUGAUACUGUUAGUCUAGAGUAUAGAUGACGUUGGCGGAAUAUGACAUGUAGUGGUGAAAUACUUAGAUAUGUCAUAGAACACCGAUUGCGAAGGCAGCUAACGAAACUAUAACUGACGCUGAGGCACGAAAGUGCGGGGAUCAAACAGGAUUAGAUACCCUGGUAGUCCGCACCGUAAACGAUGAUUACUCGUUGUUGGCAAUAUGACCGUCAGCGACCAAGCGAAAGCGAUAAGAAUCCACCUGGGGAGUACGCCGGCAACGGUGAAACUUAAAGGAAUUGACGGCGNGAGAGNGCGAGGACGACGACGAGGGAGGAGG